UCCUCUCUCUCUCGUUCUCCCCGUAAAUUUUCUAUCUGUCUACCACCAUCACCAUCUUUAUCAUCAACAUCAAAACCAAACCCUUAUUGUCGUCGUCGAGGAAGAAAGAAGUUUCUUUGUAAACACACUUGGAGAACUCUUUCCUUGGGUUCAAGUAAUUUGGGGUUUUUCUCUUCAUACUCCCAAGAAGUUCCCGAAGAAGUAUAAUGAAAAGAAUAACACCUGAACUGCAUGAGAAGGAACAUUGUGAGACUGAAUCUUGGGUUUCAACGUCUUGCACUUUAAUUUAUCCACAGGAUUUGAAUCAAGUACUUGUCUUCUAUCCAGCUGUAAACACAAGCAAUUGGAGAUCCAAAAGCAGCACCGUGAAGGGUACCCAAGGAGGACUGGCAAGUCGGCAGAAGUCCGCAGGAAACAAGCCUGUUGAUUAUACUCUUUCAUCCUCCCCAGCUGCCUAGUCCUCACUGAAAGAGAGCAUCCUCCCCGGCUGCCCAGUGCUCACUGAAAGAGAGGAGGGAUGCCAAGCAUUCGGGUGUGGCUAUUGCUAUCUAUUUGGGAUCCUUGCAUUUUCACGUUUUGGUGCUCAUUUGAUUGCAUAGGCUAUGGACUUCAGGGAUUGGUGUGGGAACGAGGUGUUUAGGCUUAUCGGCUCAACAUGUACAUUUGAUAUUUUAACAUCACAAGAAUUAAGACAUGAAAUUUCUUUUAUUACUAAUAAUGUUAUUAUUAGUAAUUUUAUUAUCCUUUCUCUUGAACAUGAAUUUGUUUGAAGUGACUCUUUCGAAAAAAUGAAAUAAUUGCAGUACCCUUCCUUUGUUGGACACGAGUAUCUAUCUUGUAGACGAUAUUAGCCGGGGCAUAAACUAUCAAUUAUAGUUUUGUUGUAA